rnacentral:rRNA from 1 species
CUACGGAGGGUGCAAGCGUUAUCCGGAAUCAUUGGGUUUAAAGGGUCCGCAGGCGGAUUAAUAAGUCAGUGGUGAAACCCUCUCGCUCAACGAGAGAACUGCCAUUGAAACUGUUAGUCUUGAAUUCGGUCGAAGUAGGCGGAAUGUGUCAUGUAGCGGUGAAAUGCAUAGAUAUGACACAGAACACCGAUAGCGAAGGCAGCUUACUAGACCUGGAUUGACGCUCAUGGACGAAAGCGUGGGGAGCGAACAGGAUUAGAAACCCCGGUAGUCC